UCCCCCGCCAUCGCUACCACCACCACCUCCCCUGCUUCCCCCCACUCCACUGCCGCACCACCACCGCAACACCACCUUCCCCCGCGCCACUGCACCACCAUCACUGCCACCUCAGAACCGCCGCCGCCGAAAGGGGAUAGGGCCGUGCCUCGGCCUCCCUCCCCGUGACCCAUCCCCACCCACUGCUCCCACCCGCGCACAGACCCACCCACGCCGCAUCUCCCCGCCACCGGACCCAUCCCGGCCUGGGCUCCUCCUGCACCCGUGCGAGGCGAUGAUGGCUGGCGGCGUCGACUAUUGCUAGCGCGCAGGGGAGAUGCCCUUUGUGGCGGGCGACCAAAAUCCCCAUCAUCACCGCUUCACGCCAAUACUCAGCCCCCUGACCUCCGACGACCUCCUACUGGUCGCCGCGGCCGGAUCCACACUUCCAACCUUCGGAUCGGUCGUGGCCCUGCCUUGCCUCGUCAUCCUGCGUGAAUCCCGCUGGAUCUUGCGGCGGGUGGCCUGGAAAUUGAGGCGGAUUCAGGCUUGACGAAAAGGGAUCCAUGCCUCCGAGGCACGCCGGUGACGAGUAACACAAGCAGGGAGGGAGCGCCACACGACAAGCGCCAGCCAUGGGCUCUGCCUUCCUCCGCAUCCCUAACCUCUGCGUUGCCCAUCUAUGUGGGGGCGCCUCGGCUCCCCGACGCAAUUCCACUGGGUCGCGAGUGAGGUUCACCAUGCACCAGUGUGCCUCCCCCUGUGUAGCCUCCCUCCACCGCACCUCCUCCAGCGGCUAGAGAGGAGGACGAUGGCCACCCGACGAGACGCUAGGGUCUGCUGUCUCCGGCCAGAGCGAGGACGGCCACACUAUGAGGCGCGCUAGGCUCCCCAACCUUUCUCCCAGGAGGGGAUCGAGCAAUCAACUCGGGUUCGUUGGUGGCUGGUUCUACAAACAACCACCGCGGGGAAACACUGGUGCCGAUGAGCAGGGCGAGCACCGCCACUCCUCACCUCCCUCGCUGGAUUCUUGCAGUUCGCGAGCACGACAGUUAGGAGUGCAGAUAAAAUGUCGUUGCAGGUUAGUUGUGGUCGUUGGUGCAGUUCCCCGGCGCGUGGGGGUUCAGUUUAAGGCAUGCUAUGCUGCAGUGUGGAUGCAUGUGGGCAUGUAUUUAACUUGGUGUGGGCAGGAGGUUCUGCAGCUGUCGCAUUGCAUUUCGCCGGAGGAAACAACAAUUCGGUUCAAAGACCGACGUGAUUAAUUUUUUUUCUGGCGUUCAGUUUGGAGUGAGUGCGUAUGUGCAGUACUAAAAAUGAUGGGGUGUAUAUGUUGGUGUAGUUCAUUUCUGUAAUGCUAGCACGCCGCCGAGGCAUGGCUCAGCCCCCGUGGAUGUUUAACUGCCGUUCAGUUUGCUAUGCAGAUAAGAAACUGAAGUGCACUGCAAUAUUUUUCAAUUUUUUUUAAAUGCAGACAUUGCCUUCUGCUUUUUGUUUUUGGACUCAUGGACUCAUACAGACGGGUCGCUUAUUCCUACCAUCAUGGUUC
rnacentral:rRNA from 1 species